UUCGGCCAUAGUGGCGCACGGGUGAGUAACGCGUGGGAACCUGCCCAGCAGUGGGGAAUAACUUCGGGAAACCGGGGCUAAUACCGCAUACGCCCUUAGGGGGAAAGAUUUAUUGCUGUUGGAGGGGCCCGCGUCCGAUUAGUUUGUUGGUGGGGUAAUGGCCUACCAAGACUACGAUCGGUAGCUGGUCUGAGAGGAUGAUCAGCCACACUGGGACUGAGACACGGCCCAGACUCCUACGGGAGGCAGCAGUGGGGAAUAUUGGACAAUGGGCGCAAGCCUGAUCCAGCAAUGCCGCGUGAGUGAUGAAGGCCUUAGGGUUGUAAAGCUCUUUCGGCGGGGACGAUGAUGACGGUACCCGCAGAAGAAGCCCCGGCUAACUUCGUGCCAGCAGCCGCGGUAAUACGAAGGGGGCUAGCGUUGUUCGGAAUUACUGGGCGUAAAGAGCACGUAGGCGGUUCGUUAAA
rnacentral:rRNA from 1 species